UGAUUCGUGCCUAUCGGCGUAGUGUCUUUGUUUGUGCGUGUCCAUGCAUGUGUCUCUGUGUGACAUACAUUUUGUGGCUAUUGUUUGUACUUUGGGCCCUCCGCCUAAUGGCCUUGAUGUCGUCGCCGUCGCCGUCGCCGUCGUCGUGUCUGACUGCCGCCACGCCUAGACAGAGGCUUGAAUGCCUUCUUCACAUUAAAUUGAUUUAUUUUUGUUGAUUUCUAGGAAAUGUGUCCAUGAAAUCUAAAUCAAAAUUAAAUGGAAAACAGAAAUACUCAAUGAACAGCUACAAAAGUAAACCCUCUAUUAAGUGCUAGAAGCAAACAUAAUCCCAAGGAAUUGCUAGCAUACUUUUUGGGGUUUACGUCAUGUUUGUCUACAUUUAGCGGAAAAGAAAAGAAAGGGGAGAAAGCGACAGAGAGAGCGAGCGAGUGGAGAGAGAGAGAGAGAAAGAUUGUUGUUGCCACACACCAUGUUCCAUUGUGCGCCUGUGUCUCUGUCUACGCCCACGCCUCCACCUCUGUAUUUGUGUCCAAGAAAUCGCUGUGCAUGUGCCCCAAUCAUACCAAAAUCCAGUCCCAAAAAAUAUCAUCAACACCGUUCGAGCAUCGUGCAUUGUCCAUUGCAUUUGUUUAACUAAUUGGCUGAAGGUGUUUUGUGCCGUAUUUUACCUUUCAAGCUAAAAGUAGUCAAAGAAAGAGCAACAAAAUCAAAAUCAAUAAACAUAAAACUGUAAAUUGGUAAAAUACUCGCAAACAAAA